AGGACUGAAUCGCGUGUUGCUAACACGCCACCACCAGG
rnacentral:tRNA from 1 species